rnacentral:lncRNA from 1 species
CAAUAGGGGUUUUCCACCAUUGUGGUUGCUCGCCGGAAGAGGUGUUUUGUUUAUUCGAUUCCUUUUCGUUUUCACAGAAAUACGUUAAGUAUGACUUAUGCUAAAUUUUCGAUAUGUGUAGUGGGGUUGCGAGUUGGGAUCGGUACCGACAAAGGGAAGUUUAUUAUCUUCUAAUUUACAUCUGUUUAUCCCUCCGAUGCAUAAGGAGUUAACAUGAUAGGAUGAUUUGACAAUAACGUUGUUAUGGUUUCUUAUUUUAUAAAAGGUGUUGUAGGCUUGAUUUGAUUCUUACUGUUGUUUCUGCUUGUAAAAAAUGCUUAUGAACUUCUAAUGUUGUAACACAUAAUAAAAUGGAUAGAAAUGCACAUAAACACUUUCAUAAGAUGAACAUUUCUAAUACAGGCAGUUUGAUAAUGUAUGAUAGGAUGCAUAUAUUUCAUAUGAUGAUGUAUGAAAUUCCUAUGCACAUCUUACAUAGGACUAACCUGGAAUCGCUUAGUAAUCCCAUGCACCUUUUCUGGUUUAUCACUUCUUUUUGGUUUGUUCUCUGGUCCAUUUUUUUAAAUUCUCGUAUGCUAUUGAUCUCUCUUACGCUUGUACGUGAAUGAUAUUUUUGAUGUGUCGAAAAGUAUGAGGAUCCCCUUAGUCCUCAUUCUUUGUUGCGUCCGCCUUUAUAUAGCUGGUUGAUGAUGCUAGCCAGAAAACUUUUGGGUUGCUUUUCUCUUUUGUUGGAUGAUUUUUACUCUGAUUGAAACUGCUCAUGAUGGCUGGCUUUUAGUCUUUUGUGAUCACCCCUUUAAAUGCUGAUUGAUAUUGCUGAAUUGUAACUGAAACUAUGGGGUUAUUUUCUGAUUUAUGAUAAGUAAAUGAUUGAUUCCCUCAUGUGUGUCUUAAAAGGUGCACUCAUUAUUGCCUUUCAAACUGAACAAUGUGCAACUGAAAAAUUAGAUAAUGCCAACAAUUGUGAUUCUUUAUUUACAUCCUUGCCGUAACUCAUGGUUGAUUCCUUUGAUUAUUUUAUCCAUGAUGUAUUCUAUUAUUGUGUAUUGAAAUAUGUUGCUUGGUUUGCAGCCUUGAGAGUGUUGAUUGUGGUUUAUUCUGAGUGUAUGUGUAACUCUUUGCUGAUUGUAUCCUUAAUACCACUCCAUAACUGUCUUACAAUAUAACUACACUUAGCAUCUUUUUAAUUCCCGCAUUAUGUAUGACCUUUGGUUGGUUGUUUUACAUUCUUGCUUCUUUUCAUAGCCGAAUCAUUUUCCUUAUCUCUUCUUGAUGAUUCAGGUUGUACCCAAUAGCAAAGAGUAGAAGAGCUUGAGAUCAUGUUAAGUCCUUCUUAAAAUGUCAUCAUCUUUAAUAUUCAUUGAAGUUAUUCUGAUUGGUUGACAGAUAGCUAGGAACAUCACACUUAGCUAUGGCGAUUCAUGAUUAUUUUGUAAUUAAACAGGAACCAAUCCUCUUGUAUCUUCUUAUACUCACAACAAUCCAGUGGUGCAGAUGUAGAAAUUGGUCUAGUUGAUGACCCAUUUUCACUAAAUAUGGAAUACAAAUACUGAAGCAUCUUGUGCAUGUGAUUUUGUCCAGAAUAGCUUCUUCCCUUUUUCCACCUUGAACGUUUACCUUUGUAAUACAACAGUUACCAUUGGUACAAUAUAUUCUAUGUGUUGGAAGUAUUGUAAAAACCCUUCCCCUUUUUAAUUCUUCUAUUUCUUCAUUAUUUAUUUUUUCUUGUUUAAGGCCUCCACCUUCGACGUUCGAAGUUAUAGUAUUAGUGAAGUGUUGGAUAACCCUCUUUGGCUGCAAAAGCACUUCUUCAACCUCAUUCCCUUGAUCUAUUAUGACCUCAAUA